AAGUUUUUUAAACAGUUGAAAGUCAAACAAGACAGUUCUGUAUUAAUCUUACUGAAUUCUUCAUUCAGUUCCCCUUCCAGGUCCAGAUAGUAUGCAAUCCCCUGUAAACUAUAGAUAUUGCAAGUCCUAAAACAAAUUACCGUGUUAACGGAACAUGAGUACCAACGGCAAAAUAUUUUUCCAGCAAGCAGCAGUGCUCUUGCUAGCGCCCAGGAAAGCAGGGCUGGGGAAUGACAAUGAUCAAGACGGCAGAGCUAGGAUUGCACCUCCUCUUUUGCAUGGUUUGAGAAAAGUCUGUGCA
rnacentral:lncRNA from 1 species